ACAAGGAGCCUGUCCUGACAGGUCAAGGAAGUAGGAACUCCAUUCAGUCAAAUCCACACAGUGGCCGAACGGUGCCUCACCUGCCAAUCUGUGGAACCCAUGGGGAGAGGCGUGGCGAUUCAUGUGCAGACAGGGAUAUUGAAUCCUGGGGUCUCACAGAAGCCACUGCACAGGCCCACGCUCUGCCCAUUCCCCACACUAGAUCAGACUGGAAAUCUCCUGGCCACAGAGACACGAGAAGACUGACUCUGCAAAGACGUUACACAAAGGGUUACAAAGCAAAACGAAGUUAAAACUCCAGUCACAGUCCCGGGCCCACUGACUAAGGCUAGUUCCCGAUGGCGUCCUCUGCGGUGUCUCCAGAUCAUCUCCCAGUCCUCUCAGGCUCCUCCAACCUCCACUGGAGACAAAGAAAAACGUGUUCUUCAUCCAGUGUUCAUCUUUUCAGUCUGGUUCUGCUCCCACGUCGCGAACAACGAAAGAAAUAUUCGUUUGUACAGUUUUUUUUCAAGUGAAAAG